GAUGAAGAACGCAGCGAAAUGCGAUACGUAAUGUGAAUUGCAGAAUUCAGUGAAUCAUCGAAUCUUUGAACGCAUAUUGCGCUCUCUGGUAUUCCGGAGAGCAUGCUUGUUUGAGUAUCAGUAAACACCUCAACUCCCUUUUCUUUUUUGAAAUUGGAGCUGGACUUGAGUGAUCCCAACGCUUUCUUCCAAGAAAGUGGCGGGUUGCUUGAAAUGCAGGUGCAGUUGAACUUUUCUCUGAGCUAUAAGCAUAUCUAUUUAGUCUGCCUAAAAAACAGAUUAUUACCUUUGCUGCAGCUAACAUAAAGGAGACUAGUUCUUGUGCUGACUGAUGCAGGAUUCACAGAGACAGCUUCGGCUGACUUUGUAAACUCGAUCUCAAAUCAAGUAAGACUACCCGCUGAACUUAAGCAUAUCAAUAAGCGGAGGA
rnacentral:misc_RNA from 1 species